rnacentral:rRNA from 1 species
GUGCCAGCCGCCGCGGUAAUACGGAGGGUGCGAGCGUUGUCCGGAAUCACUGGGCGUAAAGGGCGCGUAGGCGGCCUGAUAAGUAGGGGGUGAAAUCCUGCGGCUUAACCGCAGGGCUGCCUUCUAAACUGUCAGGCUCGAGCACAGUAGAGGCAGGUGGAAUUCCCGGUGUAGCGGUGGAAUGCGUAGAGAUCGGGAAGAACAUCAGUGGCGAAGGCGGCCUGCUGGGCUGUUGCUGACGCUGAGGCGCGACAGCGUGGGGAGCAAACAGGAUUAGAAACCCCCGUAGUCC